rnacentral:rRNA from 1 species
AACCACCCGAUUGAGAAAUAACAGGUCUGUGAUGGCCUUAGAUGUCCGGGCUGAACACACACUACACUGACUGGCUCAGCAUGUGCCUACUAUAUGCUGGCAGGCCUGGGUAACCCGUUGAUGGGGACCGGGGAUUGCAAUUAUUCCCCAUGAACAAGGAAUUC